rnacentral:lncRNA from 1 species
CGACCGAUGGAAAAAUUACUCCACCACUUCUAGACAUGCAAGGCUCUUUGGCUGAGGGGUUUUUUUGCCAAAAGCAACUAUAUUAGGUCCUUACUUUUAAUAUUUUAACUCCGAUUCUAAGUUCAUUAACCAGCCUAUUUUUGCAACUUAUGCUAAGCAAGCACAGUUCCAACAAUAUGUAUAUAUAACUCAAACAUCAAGUUCAUAUCAUCAUCAUGUUCCAUCCUUACUCAGUGUAGCAUAGCGAUCAAGCAGUCUCAAACUGUGAGAGGCAGACGAAUCGAUUCGGGUUUCUUAACCAUGCAUGGCGAACCUAAUCUCACGACAUCCGCGCACCACCGAGGGUCGCUUCCUGUGUCG